rnacentral:pre_miRNA from 1 species
UGCCGAAGUUUUCCUCGGUAGUUAACUACAGCCGGUUCCAUAAUUUGACAGUUAACUGCCGAGGGACAU